CCGACGGGUCCAGCCCCGCCUAUUCCAGCCCAGCUCUCCGCGGGUUCCCCUCUUUGCCAGGCCCGCCUUCUUUGGACCCACGCCUUACCGCCUCCCGGUGCCAGGCCCCCCACCGCCCCUUCCAGCCCAGCUCCCUCCAGGCCCCGCCUCUGGCCCCCGCGCGGCGACUCGUGGGAACGCCCCCCGGGCGCAGCGGCGGAGGACGCGGUGCUCGGUCAUGGGGUUCCAGCCGAGCCCAGCGCUGCUGGCCUCCCUCGGGGCGGGGCUGCUAACGCUGCUCGGCCUGGCUCUGGGCUCCUACUUGGUGCGGAGGUCCCGCCGCCCACGGGUCACUCUCCUGGACCCCGAUGAGAAGUACCUGCUGCGGCUGCUGGAUAAGACGACUGUGAGCCACAACACCAAGAGGUUCCGAUUUGCCCUGCCCACCGCCCAGCACACUCUGGGGCUGCCUGUGGGCAAACAUGUCUACCUCUCAGCCCGAAUCGAUGGCAGCCUGGUCAUCAGGCCAUACACUCCUGUCACCAGUAACGAAGACCAAGGCUAUGUGGAUCUUGUCAUCAAGGUCUACCUGAAAGGUGUGCACCCCAAAUUUCCUGAGGGAGGGAAGAUGUCUCAGUACCUGGACAGCCUGGAGAUUGGGGAUGUGGUGGAAUUUCGAGGGCCGAGUGGGUUGCUCACUUACAUGGGGAAAGGGAAUUUUAGCAUUCAGUCCAACAAAAAGUCUCCACCAGAGCUCCGAGUGGCAAAGAGACUGGGCAUGAUCGCCGGCGGGACAGGAAUCACCCCGAUGCUUCAGCUGAUCCGGGCCAUCCUGAAAGACCCCACAGAUCCAACCCAGUGCUCUUUGCUUUUUGCCAACCAGACUGAAAAGGACAUAAUCUUACGGGAGGACUUGGAGGAACUGCAGGCCCAAUACCCCAGUCGCUUUCAACUCUGGUUCACUCUUGAUCAUCCCCCAGCAGAUUGGGCCUACAGCCAGGGCUUUGUGACUGCGGACAUGAUCCAGGAGCACCUGCCUUCCCCGGGGGACGACGUGCUGCUGCUUCUCUGUGGGCCUCCCCCUAUGGUGCAGCUGGCCUGCCACCCCAACCUGGACAAACUGGGCUAUUCUCAAAAGAUGCGCUUCACCUACUGAUCGUCCCCUGGCUUCCCUGGUCCCGUUCCCGGCAAUGUUCCUGGUCAGUGCUCGCUUGCUCAGGCAUCACAUAACAGCCAACAUGUAUGAAGCAUUGCCAUUUGCCUGGCAUCAUAGAAGAGCCUGCAUAAAUCAUCUCAAUCCUGACAAAGACCCAGUGAAGGAGCACGGUUUUCUUCCCAUUUUCCAGGGGGGCUGCACCACCUGUGGUCUCCCAGACCUGCACUCACAGGCCGGAGCGUGGGAGCACAGACUGGGCAGUGAGUUCUGGAGCAAGGCUGGAGGCAGUUCUGUUUAUGCAAGAAAUAACAGGCGCCGAACUAAAGCGCAGCCCAGCACUUCGCACGUGAUGGUUCCGGUCAAUCAAUGUGGGAGGGACCAAGAGGCUGAAGAGGGGCUCAGGAGUGUUUGGAGGAGCAAACAACUGGCACCGGCCAUGGUGAGAUCGGGGCGGGGGGGUUUGCCAGCGGAGAGGACGGGCGCAAGGGAUGAAACUGGGCGGGUGCAGCCAACUCCCCGACAUUCCUCGGCCGGGCGUUCCCGCGUGCAGCUGGGGGUGUGGUCCUCACCCAGCCAAGGAGGCGGGGCUCGGGAUUGGAGCUGCGCAGGGGCGUGGCCCAGGGGAGCGAGCCUGUGAUUGGCCUGCUGGAGGAAGACCCCCCGUGGGAGGGGCCCGGAGCUGCGGCGCAGAGGUGACGUCAGCGCUGGGCCCCCUUCCGGCGCGGGGAGCGUCCAGAUCAGGGCCGCUGGGCUCCAGGCCGCUUGCGGCGCCGCGGGAUGUAGCGCGGGCUCCGCGGCCCCACCUGAGCCUGUCGCCGGCGUUCUUCCUGCUUCCUCGGCGGUGGGAACCUGACGAGGCACUUCGGUUGACACGGAACCCGUGUGGGAGGAGCCGGAGGAGCCCAGUAGGACUUAGGAGCAACCGUAGUCUUCCCCCGCUUACUGUCUGUUUGGGAAAGGAAAAAAAAGACCUCCUGCUGGGGCUGCUUUAGCUGGAGAAGAGCUACGAAGGACAUAAGCUUGUGAUUUUCCGCUUCAGACUCUUAAGCCAGUGACUUGGCAUCAAGUAGGAAAGCCGAGGUCCUGUUACUGCAGUUGGUAAUUUUCAGCAUCGGCCUUUUCCCAGCAGAGAG